UCCGUCGCGAGGCGGAGUCGGGAGGAAGCUGGAGGCAAACGCUCGACCCAAGGUACACGAACCUAAUUGAGGCUGUAUGAGCCGGAUGAGUCUGCCAAACAAGACGAAGUUCCCAAGCCGCCAAGGGCUCAUACAGUACGGUGUCCGUGCUUCCGGCUGAAGAGGAGACGGC
rfam:Paenibacillus stellifer strain DSM 14472, complete genome.